AUACGUAGGGGGCGAGCGUUGUCCGGAAUGAUUGGGCGUAAAGGGCGCGUAGGCGGCCCGGCAAGUCUGGAGUGAAAGUCCUGUUUUUAAGAUGGGAAUUGCUUUGGAUACUGUCGGGCUUGAGUGCAGGAGAGGUAAGUGGAAUUCCCAGUGUAGCGGUGAAAUGCGUAGAGAUUUGGAGGAACACCAGUGGCGAAGGCAGCUCACUGGGUCGACACUGACGCUCAUGCACGAAAGCGUGGGGAGCAAACAGGAUUAGAUACCCUGGUAGUCCACGCCCUAAACGAUGCGAACUAGGUGUUGGGGAAGGAGACUUCUUUAGUACCGUAGCUAACGCGUGAAGUUCGCCGCCUGGGGAGUACGGUCGCAAGAUUAAAACUCAAAUGAAUUGACGGGG
rnacentral:rRNA from 1 species